GUCCCUCCACUGGACUCAGGUCACUGUGGUCGGCACUGCAGAGACAUAGGAGAAAAAUGGAAGAAACAGAGGUACUUUUAGAUGGAGCAGAACGAGCCACUGAACAGACAGGCAUUUAAGUACCAGAAAGUUAAUGGCACGGAAUACUGCUGACUGCGUGGUUCUCGUCUUAAUGCAUUUUCCAACCUUGAACCUGAGAAUACCAGAGGCUGGAGACUCUGGACACUCGUCGGCACAGCUUUCUGCUGGUGGCCUGGUUCCUGAGGUAACAAGUGGGUGUCCUGGGCGUGUGUGUGCUAACAACAGCAGCGAUGCCACGUGGUGCCCAGAGGUCGCCGCGAUCUGUCCUGGGGGUUCCUGGUCCCCGGGGCUUUUGAGAUUGAACUGUGAACUUGGGGCAUCCCGAGAAGUGCAGGCGUUUUGGAGUGUUCCACAGCAGAUCUGGAUGUCGGCAUAAACACAGCUUUCAAAGUGAAAGCAGGGGCCUCGAGGAAGGAAUUACCCUCAUCUCAUCCCCGAACUGCCUACUGUGCUGGAAAACAAAAAAAAAGAAUCUCUACUGUGAUGUGUCCAUCACCGGCUCUCGAUUUUUCUCAGUGAGGAAGAAGACUUUUUGCUUUUCAGAAGGAAGGAGCUAUUUGAAAGUGUCGCAGAACUGCUGUCUCUUUAGGAGCAGGCCAAGAGCCCUACGGAGGAUAACAGUUUUGCAAGAUGAAAAACUCACUUAGUGUGUUCUGAUUGCUGACACAGUUUACCAACUUAAGACUCCAUCUCCUGAGCACACACCUUCUUGGGUUUCUUUCUGGCAUUAUCUUAUUAGAUUCUUGGAAGUGGACAUUAUGGUCACUAGAAAAAGCACAACCACCACAAUCUGUUUCCAGAGUCAUCCUGGUUAAGUUAAUAUGCAUUUGAGGUUUUAUAUUAUAAAUCCCAUU